rnacentral:tRNA from 1 species
GCCGGGGUGGCGAAACUGGCAGACGCGCCCGACUCAAAAUCGGGUGGGAGCAAUCCCUUGCGGGUUCGAAUCCCGCCCCCGGCA